ensembl:lncRNA
UGUUUUGUGGUAGCAAGUUUGCCAGACCUCAAGACUGCAUGGGAGUCUCAACAAAGGACUCUGAGGAUGCUUGAGAUGUCAUUGGCUGGGGCAGCAGCACUACCAUUGUGGUCUGUUCAGAGCAUUUGAGCAAGGGCACAGGGCUUUGGUGAAGCAUUUGAUACUUCAGCAGGAGUAGGGGGUAUGAAGCAGAGUAGAGAGAGAUUUGGAGACAGCAUUUUCCAAGAAAUAUUACAAAGAAGUUAAAGAUAGGAAAGUGAUUUACGCAUGACAUCACACUAAGCCAAUGGUGAAAUUAACCUCCUGAGUUUGAGACCAACCAACUAAUGACAACUUGCCCACAGAACUAAGAGAAAACCCUGAAGUCAAUUUUACCCUCAGAUAAACAAAGAAAAUGUCAUUGGCAUAGAAAUCUAGAAGAGGUUGCACAGGAAAGCAUCCAUGUGCAUACUGAAUAUCUCCAGAGAAGCAGACUCCAGAGUCUCUCUGAGCAGAGUGUUCCAGUGCUUUGCCACGUUCACGAUAUAUCUCUAGCCCAAAGGCAUGUGAAAAGAACAAUAUCCAGUCAACACUAAUUUUGAAGUGCUGUAUCAUAUCUGAUGAGGUUCAACAAGAGCAAGUGUAGUGUCUUGCACCUGGGGAGGAAUAACCACAUGCAUCAGUACAGGUUAGGGGAUGACCUGUUGGAGAGAAGCUCUGCAGAGAAGGACCUGGUCUGUAAUCUUACAUUCUAAAUUUGAUUAUUAUGAAUCUUUUCUUUAAAACCUUGCUAGUAGUUUUCAAAACUAAGCCCAAACUAACAUUAGGAAUUAACUUCAACUGAUUUCUAUGAUAGUACACUUAUUAAUAUUGUUUCCACAUGGGCACAAAGGACUGUUGAUAUUUUUAAUAUAUUUGAUAUUUUUUAUUGAUAUUGAUAUUUUUUGUCAUAACUACCUAAAACUAUGUGGGGGAAAAAUGUUAUACUCUGAGAGAUAAGAGCAUGUUGUUACUUACAAAAAUUUGUUUUGAUCCUGAUUUUUCUCAUAGUACUUCAUUGCAUUGUUUUUUAUUAUUAUUAUUAAUGUUUUCAUAUAUUUAUGUCUGUCUAGCAAUUAUUACUGUGCCUAUUAAACAGUAUCAUUUCAUUCUAGGAAGCUACAUGUAAUAAUGCUGCAAGAUGAGAGAAGUCUUUGUGAAGUUGCUACUGUAUCCUAUUAUAAUAGCAAGAACAGAAAAUGGAGCCCAGAGAUAAGAGAAAAAUAUAAGCAGCAACUGUGCAAGAGAACAUAUGAAGAAAAGAUGUGUUUUAUUGGGUCAGACCAACCAUUUAUUUAUAGAACCAUUUUCAACAUUAACUACAGAUAAUACAAUGCCAGGAGCCAGGCCCUUUCUCUGUCUCAUAGCCAUCACACUAGUGCAUUGCUAGUAUCAACAGCUGUUCCAGAAAUAUUAGAGGAUACAAUCCUGAGAAACGAUGAAGAAAAGGUAGUAUUUUCUUUUAUGUAUACUCUCAGGCCCUUACAUUGCUGUUAACAAAGCAAAGAGGUCUCCCAUUUGUGGGAUGUGUCCUGUCAAAUUUGAACAAAAUAACUGUGAUAUAAUGCAUGGCAUAGAGACAUUGUCAAGUACCUGAAAAGCAACAGUUAAUUUCUACUGGGCUGGUGUGAAUUCAUAGCUCGUAUUUCUUCUCAAGAUUAGAUUCAUACUGGUCCUAUAGCACAUAUUGGUAGAUCAGUGUGUUCAGAUAUAUAUUUGUAUCAAUUUAUGGCUUCCUCAUGAAUAACGGAAAUGACAUACUUCUUUCUGAAAUGGGACUGUUUCAUUGUCAUAUGAUUCUUCUAAUCUUCAGAUACCUGCAUAAGUUGCACUGACAUUUAAUGUCCCUUACAUUUUAUCAGUAGAAUUCAUACCCCUGAUGUUUAUCAGAAAGAGAUUCUGAAGAUUUUACUGUAUAUUUUUGUAAAUGGAAGGAUGAUUUUUGAUGAAAAUAAUAGUGAUUUUGGAUGGCUCCAUCUGAUAUGUAACAAGACUUUCUUCAGAUGGCAGAUGGAAAAACAAUUUAGAAGCUUUUACUUCAUGGGAUAAAUCAAAAUUUUAAAUGUAGAAGACAGUGUGAAGUUACUGGCCAAAGAAAUGUAUGCUUCCCAAACAUGAAAUACAGUGGAAAGAGAAAAUCAAGACCAUGUAACUUAAAAAAAUGUUUACUCAUUAGUUGAAUACACCAUUUAUUAUAAUUUUCCUACUGUAUAGUUACUAGUUGUUUUUCAAAUUAAUAUUUUUGUACAUUGUUAUCUACAAAUCAUUCUAAACAAGUAUGUUGGAGGAGCCUUCAAUUCCUGCUGAGCACACAACCAUAUCUGACACUGCCCAGAGAUAAAUGAAUUGUUGCUUUGCAUAUUUUUGAAGAUGGCUCCACUUUUCAUGCUUAAUCUAAGAUCAUUAUUUCAAACCACAGCAUGUUCUCACAAAGAUUGAGUAUUUCUGCCACCUCUCAAACAGGAAAGAAUAUUUACAGUCUUAUGCUGAAACAUAUUUAUACUGCAAAAUAAAGUUGGCGGGUACUAUCUAAAUAUGUGUGCCAAUAUUAUGAUGACAUAAAAAACUUAGAUCAUGUUGCAAGAUUAAAUGCUGAUUUUGUGGCAAAUUAUUACUGGCAUAUAUAAAGGCUAAAAAUAAAGUACACUGUAUGUUCUGUUCUAUGUUAACUUGCACAUCUAUUUCUUAACUGAUCUUGGUAGCAAAAUUUGAAUUUUCACUUUGGAUGAUGAAUAGUUGUUGAAGAAUGAACGUUGUUAAGUCAUAAUUGUAGGACAGAAAAAAGAUGCAAAGUCAGCAAAGCAGAAUAAAGGAAGAACAUGAAAGGCUUAAGUUAAAUUAGAACAGGAAGCGAAGGAAGACAAUGGAGGAUAAAAUCAACUUACUGUCCUUUUGAACUGUCCCUACCCUGGAUUCCUGUAGAUGUUAGGCACUUUUCACUCAUACUGGUGAGUACAGUAUCCCAGCAGUUACCCAUACUUUCAUAACACAUUAAUAAGUCUGUAGUUCAGAAGUGCAGAUUCCUACACCAGACUGUGUGAUAUACCCGGGCCUUUUCAAUACAGCUUGGAUAGGUCACCAAGCUAAUCCAAACUAAUAUGUUCAGGAUUCCAAGAGCCUUUUCAAGUAAUUGAUCCACUAGUAGAAGUCUGAAAAUGAAACCAAUGACUUCAUUCUAGUUUUCGGUCCUCCUUAUCCACCCAUAUAAGCAGAUCAAAGGUAUUUCAGAUAUAUUUAAUACUAACCUGAGGAAUAGCUGUAGCCUUGGUUACUUUGUAUUGCUGCCUUCUGUCUCUUUGAACCACCUUAAAAUCUCCUGUAAAAAUAUCAAAGACUACUGAUCACAUAUACACAGACUUUAAAACUUCUCUAAAGGUCACUGCCACGCCAGCAGAUAAGGAAUAAGUCAAAGGUUCAGUACCUCUUUCAUAACAUUUCUCUCAGUGCAAACAUCUAAUAAUGAUCAUCAUAAUUAUCAGGAAAACAGCUCACAAUUCUUCAGACUGUGAACUCUCCAACUCUCCACUCUCAGUCUCACCUAGACACAGAGAAGUCUCAGGCAUAUGAAAUUGGCAUUGUAUCUCCUCUGCAGAAGGAAUACUUUGAUAUUUACUUUUUCUGUCCAACAGAUUUCUCCAGCUACUCAGCAGUUUGGCACUGAGAAAGUACAAGACAAGAGAUGACCUGAAAUGUUAAGCUGUAAGAGGAAGAAUAAGAAGAAAUUGUGUUUUUAAUAAAAAAUUCAAGAAACAAGAUAAAAUACUUAGAACACUGCAAUACAUAGAAAACUGCAGGAAGUCAAACUGAGGAAAGAAGGGCCUUUUGUCUGCUUCAGAUAAUGAUUACCUGCUUGACUCUGGGAAAUGAUGUCUGCAUUUUUUCGCCAUUUGGACAGUUAGGUGUCUGUGCUACAUGUAGAACAAUUGGGUCCAGGUGUUUUCAUCCCUGGGUAGCUCCCACUAUUUAAUAUUAAUAACAACAUUAUUGAUUUCACAGAAAAUGGUAGUCAAGUUUUAAUGUCAUGGAGGAAUAAUCUAAGAAAUUCAGAUGACUAUCCUACUAAAGUCCAAUGUAUGUCUUAAUUUUUUAAAAGAUAAGAUGACAAUGAUUAAUUAAAAUAUCAAUGCUUUUUAUUGCAUAAUGUCUGUAUGGUCAUUCCUAUGAGAUAAGUUACUGGCGUUUUAAGGUUUCUUUUUCUUUUUCUUUUUCUUUUUCUUUUUCUUUUUCUUUUUCUUUUUCUUUUUCUUUUUCUUUUUCUUUUUCUUUUUCUUUUUCUUUUUCUUUUUUUUGUAAAUCCCAUAAUAGCAAUUUUAUUAUUGUUAAAAUUUCAUCCAAUGCUUUUCUAUUUAAUUUGAUUUUGGAGUAGCACCAUGUAUUGAUGGACUAAUACCAUCAGCUACAGUGCAUUUUCUAUCUGUUUAUCAAACAUUCAAAAUGGGAAUCACCUCUGAUUUGCUUUUUGUUACUUGCUACAUAUUACCGUAGGUAGUUUCACAUGAGUAAUUCCUGUUUAAUAUGUCUAUUAUAAAAACUGAAUAUCGGUGCAUGUCUUUUUGAGAAGUACAUCUAGCACAGCACUAUGCAGUUGUUGAGUCAGGUUUGCAUAUGCUUGCAUCAACAGCUACAGAAAGAGGAUAUGCAAUACAAAAACAGCAUGAGGAAGCUUCAAGUGGAAUGAAAACUACAUUCAGGUCUCUGAUCAUUUCAGCAGUGACUUAAGUUUUGCAUUAGGAUUUCUAAUACAUGCUCUGCAGCUGAUCUUUUAGAGAAUUUUGGCAAAAAAAAAAAAAAAGUGAGAAGUUUAGACAGGGUUGGGUUGUACUUUCUUUUGGAACUCUUAAAGAAUUGUAUGAUUCACUACCCUCACAUAAUAAUACUGAGCCAGAGUCACAGUUAUAAUCUUCAGUUUGUUUAUGUAUCCUUUUCUGAAAUACAUGAUUGGCAUAACUAGGAAAUAGGCCCAUGAGAUCAAAUUAUUCUUCAUUUCAGAGUUUCAGACUGUGAGCAAAAAUUUAUUCAGUGAAUGUAAUAUAUUUUCCUAGUUAACAUACCAUUUCCAGCCAACCGAAAGAGAUGGAGAUUGGUGUCACUCAGUAAAUAGCAGUUCAUCUCUUCAUAGUGCUUAUUAAGAUAUGACAUAUGACUGGAAAUGAUCUGGGCAAACUAGCUCAAUCUCCUGCUAUUCUCUAAUUCUUUUCACAAACUUUUUUAGAUCCUUCUUACAAACUAUCAGAUAUUUUUCUCUCUAAGCCCUAUGGGAGUUUGUUCCACACUUCAACUCUUCUAAUAGUUAGAAAUCUUCUAAUUUCCAGUCUAAAUUUAUUCAUAGCCUUUUACUAACAUUGUCCUUUAGCUUAAAUAGCUUUUCUCCUCCUGGGCAUUUUCCUGUCCAUCUCACUCCUGAGGUAUUUAUAGACAGCUGUCAUGUCUAUUCCCAUUAUUUGUUUGAGUAUUUGCAUUUUUUUUAUUAUGCUGUAAAUCACAUAGUGAUACUGCUAUUCCCUUCCUACAUGUAGGAGGAGGGCUUCUUGAACCAGUUAAAAAUUUUUAUAUUGAUGCUUGGGGAAUGAUCCUGUAGGCAAAUAUCUAUUUGCAUGAAGUGCUUUGAGACUGAAUUCUGUUAUUCAUUUUAUAGAUUUUGCUCUUAUCAGCAGCUCCUUCAUACCUAGAAUGAGGUACCUGCUCUGUUGCAACAGCACCUGGAAUUCAAAAUCACCUUGUAGCAACCAGCCCACCUUGGCAUCUUUCUUUGCUGACAAAGAAGUAACGUGGAGGGGAGAGAAGAGAAUAGAUAAAGGAUAAUAUUUCCUGGGUGUUAAAUACUUUUCAUCGGGAUGAUCAACUUCAGUGCUUUUUAGUGACUUUUAAUCCUUUUAACUCUUUUCUGAGCAUCUGUUUCCCUACUAUGCAGUUCAAUGCUGUCUGUAAAAAGUGAUUUGAUUGAUGUGUAAUGAAAUCUUACCUAAAUACUUUAGUAAAGUAUUGAUUGAACAAUUAUACUUCAUUUAUACUGAAGUGUUAUUUCUUCCUUCGUUCAGUUCUCUGUUCCUUGAUCUGAGAUUCUAUAGAUCCUUGUUAUGACUCUAUUUAUAAGAACUGACACCUUUAGGCUGUAAAUCAAUUUUCCAUUUUCAUUGUAUUGGAGAAAUUGCUUUUCAGUAUGAUUCUGCUCCUUCAAAGGACGGGUUCAGUGCAUCACUUAUACUUGAUUGAUCCACUACGUUUACUUUUGAAGAACUUGGCAAGGUUCACAGGUGGAGUACUCUGACAUAUUCCUAUUGCUAAAAAAGCUAUUUCAAUUUAAUAUUAAUGUUGAACUUUCUCACCUAGAACUGAAUGGACAGCUAUUAGGUUGGUUUGUGUGAUAGUGGAAUCAUUUCCCUGUUCAAUACCAUGUGGUUCUUGUACAUCCUAGUUUAUACUGUUUUUUCAAUUGUUAUUACUUUUUAUUCCCACUCUCUAAAACAAUCGGGACCAGCCACCAUCCUGCAGCCAGUUGAAGGAACAUUUCUAUUGCAGAUUAAAUAAAGAAUAUGAAUAAGCACAUUUGUUAAAGGAAAAGUCACAGUCACCUGGCUAUUGAAACAAAUGAAGGAUGUAUUUUUAAAUUGUACAUUCAUCUGGCUGGUUUAGGUAGUGCGUAUCUGUCCCGAGUCUCAACUUCAUCAAAGUUCUAAUGGAGCACUAGAAUUUGUUUAUGCUGUUCUAUGUACUUAACUUGACAACUUUGUUUUCAUCCUGUUAACUUUAAUUACUUAUUUUGAAGUCAACAGAUAUGUUAAAAAAAAAUCUAUCAAAACCAAAUAAGCUAAGAAGCAAACAAACAAACAAACAAAAAAACCCACUUUAUCUGGUUUUGAACAUUUUAUUUACUGAAUAUUUUCUUGAGUAUAAAAUUUAAAAAUGCAUCUUUCAUUUGUUUCAUUUUUACAACAUAAGAAUAAAAAUGGAAAAGUUUUACAACUAUGUGUACAUUUUUUCUUCGUUAAUAGUUUGUGACAUUCUUUUUAAUUACAAAGCUUAGCUGGCCUAGUGUGUGUGUUAUUUAUCAUCUUUGAAACAGUAAUACUUUAAUUAGGACACUAUGAGAUUUCUUCAUUUAUACUGAGAAUAUUUCUUCACGAGUUGAAUUUAUGAGUUUGGCAUCCUGUACUACACUACAUUAAUGAUGGCAUGAAAGGUGUGAAUAAACAUUGAGAUGCUUGGAUCUAAGAAUUCAGCUUCAGGUAAUUAAUUUUGAAAUCCUAUAAACUCUAUGCAGAUUUUAAAACACAUUAUGCGUACAACAUCUGCAAUAAAAAGCACAGUCAGUAUUCUCAGGUAGUCUUAAGUGAAUAGUGGUGGAUAUAUCAGCUCAAGUUAGAUAAAUGAAGACUUAAAUAGCUAUAUGAUUAUGAAAUUGACAUUAUUCAAAUAUUUUAUAAUAGAAAUUGACAUUAUUCAAAUAUUUUAUAAUACUUCAAGACUUGUAAAUUUCAAAAACGAUUAAAUAUGAUUGAAUUAGCCAUAUUUUAAAUUGAAUUUAUAUUUAUUUAUAUUUAUAUUUAUUUCUAAUAAUUAUUGGACUUUCCUUUUCUGAUUGAUGUACCUGUUGAAGCCUUUAUUAUCCUUCUUUGCAC